rnacentral:rRNA from 1 species
GACGAACGCUGGCGGCGUGCUUAACACAUGCAAGUCGAACGGAAAGGCCCUGCUUUUGUGGGGUGCUCGAGUGGCGAACGGGUGAGUAACACGUGAGUAACCUGCCCUUGACUUUGGUAUAACUUCAGGAAACUGGGGCUAAUACCGUAUAGGAGCUCCUGCUGCAUGGUGGGGGUUGGAAAUUUUCGGCGGUUGGGGAUGGACUCGCGGCUUAUCAGCUUGUUGGUGGGGUAGUGGCUUACCAAGGCUUUGACGGGUAGCCGGACUGAGAGGGUGACCGGCGACAUUGGGACUGAGAUACGGCCCAGACUCCUACGGGAGGCAGAAGUGGGGAAUAUUGCACAAUGGGCGGAAGCCUGAUGCAGAAACGCCGCGUGCGGGAUGACGGCCUUCGGGUUGUAAAACGCUUUCGCCUGUGACGAAGCGUGAGUGACGGUAAUGGGUAAAGAAGCACCGGCUAACUACGUG